rnacentral:lncRNA from 1 species
GAUUGACCCAAGUCCUAGUUGAACUAGGACUAGUUUUUCCUUGCACUUGGCUUAUCCAAUAAACCAAUUGGACUUGAUCCAAUCAAGCCCAAACUAAAUCUAAUUAAAUCAUAUUUAAUUAGACUUAAUCUCAAUGGGCUUAAUAAAAUUAAGCCAAUUAGCAAUCGAAUUGCUAAUCGAUCCUCCUGCAAUAUUUGCACUGGGUUAAAUGUCAAUCAUAUUGAUCAUUUAACCCUAGAAUGAUUCUUAAUCGUUGAUCAACCAUC